rnacentral:lncRNA from 11 species
GUAGAGGGGGCCUACAUCAGAGCAUAGCCAAAGUUUCAAAAGUUUUCAAAAGUUAUUCAAGAGGAAGAACACAUAAGCAAGGAGAGGCUGCUACGGUCAGCCUUGUUCUGAGCCUAUCGGGAAGGGAAGAACUCCAACCCCUUCUCUCAUCCCGCUGCUACUUUCGAAAUUAGUUUGCAGCAAUUGACAUAUGGUGAGGAGUGAAGGGCAAGAAGAAGAAUCAAGCUGGGACAUUUUCACAAGCAAUUGAGAAGGUGGGAGUGCUGAUUAAUAACUAAAGCUGGAUCUACACUGCCAUGUAAUCCAGAGGUGCUUGACAUUAAGCCUCUGCGCUCUUGGGAUAUAAAGUGAAACACUGGAAAUGCAGAUGAGACCCAGAGGAAGCUAAGCAAACAGACACAAAGCUUUCAGCAGGCUCCACAUCCAUCACUAUUCACCAUGGCUUUCGUGCAAGAUGACAAGUACAACAGAUUCAUCCGGAAACAUUCGGCGGCAGGGCUGCAGGAGUUGGUGUCCCUAGCUGAGAUUCUGUUCCUCCCAAGGCCACACAGUGAGGAGAUCUGUAAUAAAACCCGUGAUCGCAUCAAUAAUGCAUCCUACCAUUUUUCGGAGGCUGAACGGCAGGUUGAAUCCCACCUCUCACAAGUUGAUUCCCAGUCAGAAGCUAUGAUAGCGGUGAAGAAACAAAUGCAAGACGAUCUGCAGGAGAAGAAGGGGAGCUUGGCAGACCUGAGAGCCCAGAUGGUUGCCAUCAAAGAAGUUCAGAAGAAGUCCCAGGCAAUGCUGGAAUCUGCAGAGGUGCAUCUAGAAAAUGCAAAGAAGCAGUAUGAAGAGACCAAGAAGGAAGAAGAAGAAGAUAUAUUUUACCAGACACUGCUCUCAGUAGGGGUUGGGCCAGUCAUUGCACUUCUGACGCUUCCGAGUCUCGAGGCAGCAAGGAAAUCAGCCGAAAAUCAUAUAGCUGAAGCCCAAGAGGCAGUGGUCCAAAGUAUAGCAGAAGUCGACGGUUACAGGAACGAGGUGGCACAAUUGUCCCAAAAGGAGCAGGAGAUACAGGCUGGGAUAAACACUGCUGAGGAGAAGAUUUCCCAGAUUCAAGCCGAACAUGACGAAAUCCUUGCUUUCCACAACACCGUAACAACACAGCAAACCUGGAUCAGAAAAUUCCUGUCCCUGUUGGAUCUGUUGGGAGGCAGGAUUGACGCUUCUGCGGUAAUGUACAGCCCUGACUGUACGCCUGACUCCCUGGUGGGCAUCUUGGAAGAAAUAGCAGGCAUGGUGGCAGGACAAGACGCAAAGUCCUUCUGUGCCUAUGAGGAAAUCCAGGCUUUGGUUCUGCAAAUAAAUAAGACAAUGCAAUCUCUGAAAGCCACGGCAGGAGGAAAUGAAACCAUUGCUUAAUAACGCCCCCCACAACCUUCUUGUCAUACUACUUUUCUCAUUCUACUCAGCCGUUUCCCACUUUUCCCAUUCCAUUGGCCCAUUUCAUUUCUGUGUUGGAAGAUAACUGCAGAUUUUGUAUGCUAGUGUUCUUGUGUGGCUAUUGUUUUUAUUUGUUGUUGUUCUGUGCCUCCAAGUCAUUUCCAACACAUGGUUAUUCCAAGGCAAACAUAUCACAGGUUUCUUGCGAUAAGUUUUUGGUUUUGUUCAGAGGCAAUUUGCCUUCUUCUGAGGGCCCCUCCACACAACCAUAUAACACAGAAUAUCCUACAAUAUCUGCUUUGAAUCCAUGCUGCCAUAUAUUCCAGUUCAAAGAAGAUAAUGUGGGAUUUUAUUCAGCUAUGUGGAAUGGACCUAAGGCUAAGACCCCUCCUGCAUUGCUUUAUAAAAUCCAGAUUGCCUGCUUUGAACUGGAAUAUAUGGCAGUGUGGACUCAAAUAAAGCAGUUCAAAGAUGAUAUUGUGGAAUUUUCUUCCUUGAUAUUCUGGGUUAAAGGCCUCUGUGGAAAGGCCCUAUGAGAAUAUGCCUUGCCUACAGACACUAUGGCUAAGUGGAGAUUUAAAGUCUGUUGCCAGAGUUGUUAUUCACUGCUCAAAUCAUUACAUUGCACUGAUUAGUUUACUAGCAAAAUAUUGUGUUGGGAACUACAUUCCUGAAUUUUACUGUUGUUUGCUGUAUUUUCAUAGAAUUAUAGAGUUGGAAGAGGCCAUGAGGGCCAUCGAGUCCAACCUGUGGAGAUUUGUAAAAGGCAUCAUUGACUGGAAAGACAUGUGUCAGCAGCUGAUUUGCUAAGAGUGCCAGGAGCCAACAUUCUGAUUGGCUACUGCCUCUGGCUUACUGCUGAGAGAAAUGGUUUGGACAGGCACUUUUACCUCAGAGAGCGAAGAGGUAACACCUAGGGAAUUAAUGGCUGCCGACUCUCUGAAGCCUGAUAAUUGAUAAGGCAAUGAGGUAUAUUUAAAGGCUGAUUUAAAAGGACUGUUUAUUCCCUCUGUUCUCUGUAAGAAGCCAGAGAGACUACUGUAUAUAUUGUUGCUCUGUUCGAUCUAUUGAACUGAAGUAAAGUUACUGUUACUUAUUUC